UCUAUUAUGGCAGAUAAGUGCAUUGGAUUUAAGAUUCAAUAAUAAAGUUAAUUACUUUUUAUAGAA
rnacentral:tRNA from 1 species